UAGGGAAUCUUCCGCAAUGGGCGAAAGCCUGACGGAGCAACGCCGCGUGAGUGAUGAAGGUCUUCGGAUCGUAAAACUCUGUUAUUAGGGAAGAACAAAUGUGUAAGUAACUAUGCACGUCUUGACGGUACCUAAUCAGAAAGCCACGGCUAACUACGUGCCAGCAGCCGCGGUAAUACGUAGGUGGCAAGCGUUAUCCGGAAUUAUUGGGCGUAAAGCGCGCGUAGGCGGUUUUUUAAGUCUGAUGUGAAAGCCCACGGCUCAACCGUUGAAGGUCAUUGGAAACUGGAAACCUUGAGUGCAGAAGAGGAAAGUGGAAUUCCAUGUGUAGCGGUGAAAUGCGCAGAGAUAUGGAGGGACACCAGUGGCGAAGGCGACUUUCUGGUCUGUAACUGACGCUGAUGUGCGAAAGCGUGGGGAUCAAACAAG
rnacentral:rRNA from 1 species